UGGGGAAUAUUGGACAAUGGGGGCAACCCUGAUCCAGCAAUGCCGCGUGUGUGAAGAAGGCCUGCGGGUUGUAAAGCACUUUAGGUAACGAGGAAAGCCCGGAUGUUAAUAGUAUCCGGAAUUGACGUUAGUUACAGAAUAAGCACCGGCUAACUCUGUGCCAGCAGCCGCGGUAAUACAGAGGGUGCAAGCGUUAAUCGGAAUGACUGGGCGUAAAGAGUGCGUAGGUGGUUGUUUAAGUUAGAUGUGAAAUCCCCGGGCCUAACCUGGGAACUGCAUAUAAUACUGAAUGACUAGAGUGUGGGAGAGGUAAGUGGAAUUUCCGGUGUAGCGGUGAAAUGCGUAGAUAUCGGAAGGAACACCAGUGGCGAAGGCGGCUUACUGGCCUAACACUGACACUGAGGCACGAAAGCGUGGGGAGCAAACAGGAUUAGAUACCCUGGUAGUCCACGCCGUAAACGAUGAGAACUAGAUGAUGGGUGCUUAAAGGCACUUAGUAUCGAAGCUAACGCGUUAAGUUCUCCGCCUGGGGAGUACGGUCGCAAGAUUA
rnacentral:rRNA from 1 species